GGAGGGUUAGCAUUAGUGCCAAAUUAUAUGAACACAUCAAGGGGGCACACUUUUAGAAUAUAGACAACAAUCCUUUGUAAUAAUCAUUAAACACUUACUUCAAGAAACACAAAAGACAUGACUAAGAUAUGCAUCAAAGAGAGGAGAGUGCAACCCAAAAUCAUCACAUAUAUCAACAAGCCAAGGUUGUUCACAUUUGAAAUACAACCACGGGUCCUUUGUGU
rnacentral:lncRNA from 1 species